CUCAGAUAAGACCCCUAAAAUGUAUUCGGUUUUGGUUUACAUUUACUGACAUCGAAACAUUUCAGUGCAUCGAAUCGUUUUGUGGCAAUUCUUUAUAGUGUACAAAUGGCUUAUCCAGGAUAUGGCGGGUAUGGAGGACCAAUGCAAGGCAUGCAACUCCAGGGUAUGCCCAUGCAGGGUGGACCCAUGGGAGGCCCACCCCAGACAGGCUACCCCCAGAAUGGUGGAGGCUACCCUGGGACCUUUUCUGCUCCUCCUCAGCAGCCUGUUAAUGACCCCAUGUGGGGAUACUUUACUACCAUAGCAGGACAGGAUGGUGAGAUUGAUGCAGAGGAACUUCAGAGGUGUCUUACACAGACUGGUAUCAGUGGCACCUAUACUCCCUUCAGUUUGGAGACAUGUAGAAUCAUGAUCGCAAUGCUGGAUAGAGACAUGACCGGAAAGCUGGGCUUCAUUGAGUUCAAGGAGCUGUUUGCUGCCCUGAGUAGCUGGAAGCAGAACUUCAUGAUGUUCGACCAGGACCGGAGUGGCACGGUGGAACCCCAUGAGAUGACCCAGUCCAUCUCCGCUAUGGGCUACAGGAUCAGCCCGCAAGCUCUGAACGCUGUCAUCAAACGCUACAGCAAGGCUGGCCGGAUCUACUUUGACGACUAUGUGGCAUGUGCUGUGAAGCUUCGCGCCCUCACAGGUGAGAUGCUGACUUGGCCAAUUAAGAUGUUUAACUUCAGUUUUUUGAUUUUAUUGAUCAGCAUUUCACAUUUCCUCACAAUCCAGAGCUAUGGAUUUCGUUAUAAAAUCAAAUCAAUUCUGUCAUUCAUUAAACUUUUACUCAUUCCAAUCCAUUAUCUUUUGAGGUGUAAUUUGUCUUGUUUUGUCCUGGUCUCUUUUGUGUAUGUACAUUCAUAGGCUCAUUAACACAGUGAGUGUCUCGCUAGGUUAUUGUUGUCCAAUGAAUGGCAUUCAAAUUUCACCACAGUACACCUACAUCUUUACUAUGCGUCUCCACAGAGAGCUUCAGGAGGAGAGACCAGAUGCAGCAGGGGGCUGUCAACUUCCAAUACGAUGAUUUUAUCCUGUGUACGAUGUCCAUCUGAGUGGUGUGGUCCGGCCCAUCCCGUGCUGGAGUCAGAGAGUGGGGUGCUUCGACCGGCAGUUUGGGGCUCGCUGACCACUUCCCCUAAAUAAUGGGAAGGCACCAAUCAAUAUUAGCCAAUUGUUCUUAGGUUGAGUCCCAUAACCAACUUAAAAUGGGGAAGGAGUUUACAACAGAAACUGUUUGCUUGCCAUAAUGUCUGCCUUUCUUGUACGCUAUGCAAGAAUGUGCAGAUUUGCCAGAUCUCAUAUGGCGUGUUUCUAAAUAUAUCUGCUUGUUGUAAAUUCUGUUGCUAAAGGACAGUGGUAGAUUGAAUAAAGAAAUGGAUGGCAAAGCUGUUAUUGAUCUUUAUGAUGAUGACUUUUGUGCCUCAGAUCAUACGGUUUCCAUAUUCUUCCCCAUCACUGUAUAUGUUCUGUUUUUAUAACCACUAUAUUGUUUUAGAACCACUAUAUAGGUGUGAACUAGUUUUACAUUAAACGCAUUUUAAAGUAUAGGUAUAUAUAAUAUUUUUAUUACAAAUAUACAGUUAUGCUAGCUUUGCCUUUUGUUUAAGGUAACUAUAUGCAUCUCUUGAUUUAAAUCAAAUGUGGCCUAACAUAAACAAAUGAAUCAAACAUUAUGGAAUUCACAAAUAUAUGAAUAACAUGCACUGUUAUUCCUUUGCGAAGAAAAGCAUGCAUUCACUACCAUUAACAAUGUCUCUAAUUUUGUGAUACCAUUUGCAUAACUCAGGAUGAAAUAUUUAUCAGACAUGCUAAGUGCUUCAUGACUGUUGGGCCAUUCAUCAGUGAUAUUGGUGUCAUUCACAACACAAUAAACUCAGUUUGUAGUCA